rnacentral:tRNA from 1 species
AGCUCAGUGGUAGAGCACUUGCCUGGCAUGUAUGAGGUUCGGGGUUUGAUUCCCAG